CCCCUUCCUGUUGGGAGCCAGGGGGUAUUUAUAAGUGGGUUUGAUGUUACCUGAUGUGCCAUCCUGCCGGGGCAGGGUCGUACCUCUGAUGGCGUCUGUCGUCGUGGUCGUUGCGUGGAAGGCCGAGCUGCCGCAGGGUAUGGGGGGUGUCAGUCGGCGCCUUCCCCUGCCUCGGCCGACCAUGAGGGGUCAGCCGAGGAGGUUGUUUGGGUAUGGUGGGUGUGGGUGCGCGUCGUGUCAUUGUUAAUGC
rnacentral:lncRNA from 1 species